rnacentral:rRNA from 1 species
GUCCACGCCGUAAACGAUGAAUGCUAGAUGUCGCGGGUAUUGACCCCUGCGGUGUCGCAGUUAACGCAUUAAGCAUUCCGCCUGGGGAGUACGGCCGCAAGGCUAAAACUCAAAGGAAUUGACGGGGGCCCGCACAAGCGGAGGAGCAUGUGGUUCAAUUCGACGCAACGCGCAGAACCUUACCUGGGGUUAAAUCCACUAGAAUCCUGUAGAGAUAUGGGAGUGCUCGCAAGAGAGCUAGUGAGACGGUGCUGCAUGGCUGUCGU